rnacentral:misc_RNA from 1 species
UCCGAGUUGACCCCGGCAGUCUCCUAUGAGUCCCCGCCAUUACGCGCUGGCAACAUAGAACAAGGGUUGCGCUCGUUGCGGGACUUAACCCAACAUCUCACGACACGAGCUGACGACAACCAUGCACCACCUGUACAGGAUCCCUUGCGGACCCGACGUUUCUGCCGGUUUACCCUGUAUGUCAAGCCUUGGUAAGGUUCUUCGCGUAGCGUCGAAUUGAACCACAUGUUCCACCGCUUGUGCGGGCCCCCGUCAAUUCCUUUGAGUUUCAGUCUUGCGACCGUACUCCCCAGGUGCAGGACUUAACGCGUUAGCUCCGGGACGCUCCACGAACGUGAAGCACCCCAAGUCCUGAUCGUUUAGGGCUAGGACUAC